rnacentral:hammerhead_ribozyme from 1 species
AUCCAGAGACGAGUCCCAAAUAGGACGAAAUGCGCAUCCUGGAA